GGCGANUGANGCGGCAACAGCUCAAAUUUGAAAGCUAGCCUUCGGGUUCGCAUUGUAAUUUGUAGAGGAUGAUUUGGGGAAGCCGCCUGUCUAAGUUCCUUGGAACAGGACGUCAUAGAGGGUGAGAAUCCCGUAUGUGACAGGAAAUGGCACCCUAUGUAAAUCUCCUUCGACGAGUCGAGUUGUUUGGGAAUGCAGCUCUAAAUGGGAGGUAAAUUUCUUCUAAAGCUAAAUAUUGGCGAGAGACCGAUAGCGCACAAGUAGAGUGAUCGAAAGAUGAAAAGCACUUUGGAAAGAGAGUUAAAAAGCACGUGAAAUUGUUGAAAGGGAAGCGCUUGCAAUCAGACUUGUUUAAACUGUUCGGCCGGUCUUCUGACCGGUUUACUCAGUUUGGACAGGCCAGCAUCAGUUUCGGCGGCCGGAUAAAGGCUCUGGGAAUGUGGCCUCCACUUCGGUGGAGGUGUUAUAGCCCAGGGUGUAAUACGGCCAGCCGGGACUGAGGUCCGCGCUUCGGCUAGGAUGCUGGCGUAAUGGUUGUAAGCGACCCGUCUUGAAACNACG
rnacentral:rRNA from 1 species